rnacentral:rRNA from 1 species
CCAAUAGCGUAUAUUAAAGUUGUUGCAGUUAAAAAGCUCGUAGUUGAAUUUCGGGAUCAAUAUGUUGGUCGUGCCUUGGUACGUACUGGCAUUAUCGAUUCCUACCUUCUGAAGAACCUCGAUGUCAUUAAUUUGGUGUCUUGGGGAAUCAGGACUGUUACUUUGAAAAAAUUAGAGUGUUUAAAGCAGGCUCGCGCUUGAAUACAUUAGCAUGGAAUAAUGAAAUAGGACGUUUGAUUCUAUUUUGUUGGUUUCUAGGAUUGACGUAAUGAUUAAUAGGGAUAGUUGGGGGCAUUAGUAUUCAAUUGUCAGAGGUGAAAUUCUUGGAUUUAUUGAAGACUAACUACUGCGAAAGCAUUUGCCAAGGAUGUUUUCAUUAAUCAAGAACGAAAGUUAGGGGAUCGAAGACGAUCAGAUACCGUCGUAGUCUCAACCAUAAACGAUGCCGACCAGGGAUCGGCGGAUGUUGCUUAUAGGACUCCGCCGGCACCUUAUG